rnacentral:rRNA from 1 species
GACGAACGCUGGCGGCGUGCUUAACACAUGCAAGUCGAACGGAAAGGCCCUGCUUUUGUGGGGUGCUCGAGUGGCGAACGGGUGAGUAACACGUGAGUAACCUGCCCUUGACUUUGGGAUAACUUCAGGAAACUGGGGCUAAUACAGGAUAGGAGCUCCUGCUGCAUGGUGGGGGUUGGAAAGUUUCGGCGGUUGGGGAUGGACUCGCGGCUUAUCGGCUUGUUGGUGGGGUAGUGGCUGACCAAGGCUUUGACGGGUAGCCGGCCUGAGAGGGUGAACGGGCACAUUGGGACUGAGAGACGGCCCAGACGCCUACGGGAGGCAGCAGUGGGGAAUAUGGCACAAUGGGCGGAAGCCUGAUGCAGCAACGCCGCGUGCGGGAUGACGUCCUUCGGGUUGUAAACCGCUUUCGCCUGUGACGAAGCGUGAGUGACGGUAAUGGGUAAAGAAGCACCGGCUAACUACGUG